AGGUUGAAGGUUGGGUAACACUAACUGGAGGACCGAACCGACUAAUGUUGAAAAAUUAGCGGAUGACUUGUGGCUGGGGGUGAAAGGCCAAUCAAACCGGGAGAUAGCUGGUUCUCCCCGAAAGCUAUUUAGGUAGCGCCUCGUGAAUUCAUCUCCGGGGGUAGAGCACUGUUUCGGCAAGGGGGUCAUCCCGACUUACCAACCCGAUGCAAACUGCGAAUACCGGAGAAUGUUAUCACGGGAGACACACGGCGGGUGCUAACGUCCGUCGUGAAGAGGGAAACAACCCAGACCGCCAGCUAAGGUCCCAAAGUCAUGGUUAAGUGGGAAACGAUGUGGGAAGGCCCAGACAGCCAGGAUGUUGGCUUAGAAGCAGCCAUCAUUUAAAGAAAGCGUAAUAGCUCACUGGUCGAGUCGGCCUGCGCGGAAGAUGUAACGGGGCUAAACCAUGCACCGAAGCUGCGGCAGCGACGCU
rnacentral:rRNA from 1 species